rnacentral:rRNA from 1 species
GGAGGGUGCAAACGUUGCUCGGGAAUCAUUGGGGCGCAAAGCGCAUGUAGGCGGUCUAUCAAGUCGGAUGUGAAAGCCCCGGGGCUCAACCUGGGAAGUGCAUUCGAAACUGGUGGACUUGAGUACGGGAGAGGGUCGCGGAAUUCCCGGUGUAGAGGUGAAAUUCGUAGAUAUCGGGAGGAACACCAGAGGCGAAGGCGGCGACCUGGACCGAUACUGACGCUGAGAUGCGAAAGCGUGGGGAGCAAACAGGAUUAGAUACCCUGGUAGUCCACGCUGUAAACGAUGAGUGCUAGGUGUCGCGGGUAUUGACCCCUGCGGUGCCACAGCUAACGCACUAAGCACUCCGCCUGGGGAGUACGGCCGCAAGGCUA